GGGUUGUCAUGCCAAUGGCACUGCCCGGUAGCUAAAUGCGGAAGAGAUAAGUGCUGAAAGCAUCUAAGCACGAAACUUGCCCCGAGAUGAGUUCUCCCUGAGACUAUAAGUCUCCUGAAGGAACGUUGAAGACGACGACGUUGAUAGGCCGGGUGUGUAAGCGCAGCGAUGCGUUGAGCUAACCGGUACUAAUGAACCGUGAGGCUUAACCUU
rnacentral:rRNA from 3 species